GGAGAGGUGGCCGAGAGGCUGAAGGCAACCGAUUGCUAAUCGGUUGACCUGGGAGACCGGGUCCCAGGGUUCGAAUCCCUGCCUCUCCG
rnacentral:tRNA from 1 species